rnacentral:rRNA from 1 species
GAUGAACGCUGGCGGCGUGCCUAACACAUGCAAGUCGAACGGAGUCGUUUUGGAAAUCUCUUCGGAGAUGGAAUUCUCGACUUAGUGGCGGACGGGUGAGUAACGCGUGAGCAAUCUGCCUUUAAGAGGGGGAUAACAGUCGGAAACGGCUGCUAAUACCGCAUAAAGCAUUAAAUUCGCAUGUUUUUGAUGCCAAAGGAGCAAUCCGCUUUUAGAUGAGCUCGCGUCUGAUUAGCUAGUUGGCGGGGUAACGGCCCACCAAGGCGACGAUCAGUAGCCGGACUGAGAGGUUGAACGGCCACAUUGGGACUGAGACACGGCCCAGACUCCUACGGGAGGCAGCAGUGGGGAAUAUUGCGCAAUGCGGGAAACCCUGACGCAGCAACGCCGCGUGAUUGAAGAAGGCCUUCGGGUUGUAAAGAUCUUUAAUCAGGGACGAAACAAAUGACGGUACCUGAAGAAUAAGCUCCGGCUAACUACGUG